UGGGCGUAAGCGCGCGCAGGUGGUUUCUUAAGUCUGAUGUGAAAGCCCACGGCUCAACCGUGGAGGGUCAUUGGAAACUGGGAGACUUGAGUGCAGAAGAGGAAAGUGGAAUUCCAUGUGUAGCGGUGAAAUGCGUAGAGAUAUGGAGGAACACCAGUGGCGAAGGCGACUUUCUGGUCUGUAACUGACACUGAGGCGCGAAAGCGUGGGGAGCAAACAGGAUUAGAUACCCUGGUAGUCCACGCCGUAAACGAUGAGUGCUAAGUGUUAGAGGGUUUCCGCCCUUUAGUGCUGAAGUUAACGCAUUAACCACUCCCCCUGGGG
rnacentral:rRNA from 1 species